AUACAAGGCUUUUAGUAAGUUGUAAGGGUAAGAAUAGUGUCUUUGCUUUUUAAAUUUUCCCUUUUGUUAGCAAACAUAUUGGAAAGAGAGAGAGAAUAGGCUGGCAAUGUCCUUUCUUAGUGUUUAAUGAAAUGCUGUUAAAAAUCAACAGUAUGACAGAAUUUAUUUCCUUCCAGCAGAAACAAAAGGAAAACAAAGUUGUUUACAAUAACACCAUUUUACCGUUUAUUUCCCUUUUUUCACUAUAUGAUAAACACCAUAUUUCUUGUGUAAGAAGACCAUUUCUCUUCUCAUACACCCUGUGAAGUAAUUACAGCCAUUAGUUCCUUGGUGCCCAUUCUGCUGGUACUAAUGAAAUCUCUUCUACUUAUUUAUCUUGUGGUUAACUUUACUUUGGAGCCUCGGAAUGGCAUAAACAUUGAUUGAAACUUUUCACAGGUUUUGUGCCUGAGCUCUUUCCCUUGUUGGCUUCUCCGGUGCAUACAUCCAGGCCACAGCCUGUCCCUCUGCAGGGGUGUGUGUUCGAGGUCUCUCCCUGUCACCAGAAGUCUCUUUUGACAACACAUGAGGAAACUGUGUGUUUAACCUUUCCACCCCAAAGUUUAAUUUCAGCAAAACUAACAGUUCAGAAAGUGAUUAAUGAGGGUGAUAAGCAGGCUGACAAGGCAGAUAGUAUUGACUUUAUUAACCUGUUUAACUAGGGAACUGGGUAAAAAAAACCCAUAAAAAUUAAAUGUAACCUCUAAUGCUUCCUUUUCAUGUUUUAUAGGAAGUGGGAAUCACUCACAGUAAAUUAUAGUUCCAAAGAAAAUUUAUGCCAUUAUGACAAAUGCAAUAUAAAUAGGUAGAUAGGCUGGCUUUCACUGCUGCCUUUUACUAAGUCAUUGUCCUGCCCCAGAUUGACUGCACUGUAGUGAUUCAUAGAUAAUGUCUUGUAAUGAAUGAGCAUAAUUCUGGUGGAACUUGGAAACUGGUAGUUAAGCUUGUUUUAAAAACACUUAUUUCUUUUAGUGGUACUGUAGAAGCUGAAACUAAAAUAAGAACAGAAGUCUCCUCCUUUUCUCCUUCAAAUUCUUUUGGAAAGAACACAACAUUUGACUCUCACGUCUUAUAGAGGUAUAAAAAGGCAGAUAUCCCUCUGGUUGCAAUCUCCAUCUUAAUUAAUUAGAAAAACCUGAAGAGCUACUUGGGUUUGUGUGUUGUUGGAACCAGAAGCUGGAGAUUAGCAGUCUCAUCUGUGGUAGUCCUGGUCUCCAUCUUAGAAGCUAAACAGAAUCAAAAAAAAGCUCUUAACUUUUGGGUUCAUUUUUAUAUUAAAAGUAAAUUUUUUUGAAACUCAAGUCAGGAAAUGGAAAAAUGAAUGUUCUCAGGGUAACACUAGCUCAGCCUCUUAUACAAAUAGAUUUUUUCCCCCGGUAGAUUUCUAAAGCUUAUUGUAUUACCAUUUGUUUUGCUCUGCAUGGAAGGAAUUCCCUUCCUUGCAAGGUAUACACUGCCUUCUGUACACUGUCAAUGGCUAAACAGUACUAAUAGCAAUGAUUAAAGGAUCAGAUGUACAGUUCAAUUAGUAGAAGUGGGUUUUAAUUUCCUGAGCCUUGAUUGGGGAUGAUAUUGAUGUAACCUUUAUUUUAACUGUGUAUAUGUUUUGAAAUGUAAAUAUAAAACAAUGCAUCCAGAAAAUGUCAUCAGGCAUGAGUGAGAUGCGCUAGACUGUGUAUCCCUCCAACGCAAGAGCAAACAGAAAAGAAAGAAGCAGCUAAGUCAUUCGAUAUCCUGUGCUUCUCUCAGGUCUGCAUCACAGCCUUAUCUUCCUUCCUUUCAUCACACACAGCUCACAUAUCAUUACCCACCCCCACACAAGCAAUUUUGUUAUCAGCCACAAUUAUUAUUUGCCAACACACUGAAUAGAAAUUAUAGAACUGAAAUUUAGAAAUUAAAGCUGUCAUGUAGUUCAACUGCACUCCGCAUAUUUCUGCUCAUGAGCUGUGCUGACCACCGCCAGCUCGGCAAUGAGAUCAUGUAGAAGGGCUUUUUAAAGUUUGGGGUUUUUCUGCACUUCUGAGGACCGAGGAAGAGCCCUCAGCAUUGAGUGUGCUGCCCUCUGCUGCGUCCCUGCUCAUGGGGACCGUCCCUCACCCGGGCCAGGAACUGCUUUGCAAGACCAGGGCUGAUGGAGAUGAGGCCAAGCAAGAAGCAGCAAGAUGUGGGUCUGCCUACAGCAUAGCACAGGAGCAGGCCAUGGGCUGGAGCUUAAAUCCAGCUUCUAAGCUGUAUGAGGGGCAGAGGCAGCAGCACUUUUCCCAGCAGUGUUACUGGAGCUAGCCGUGAGCAGCUAAAGCCCAGGAUGGGCCAGGAGAAAGAGCCCUGCCUGAAGCACAAAGGCAUCCUGCAGCCUGUCAUAACCUUUCUCUCCAGAGAGGAAUGUAUCAAUGUAAAUAGAGUUUAAUUACUGUCUCUUCAUUCCCUGUUGAGAAAUGGUGAGAGAAUGGAACCAGGACACGUGGAAUUGGCACCAGUGGGAAAUUAUCCCAAGUAUCAUUCGUCUCUUAUUGGCCACUUCUGAAACCUACGCAGUGAGAUUUACCAUCAUCAGAAAAGAAAAUGUGGGUCUGAACUUUGCAGAUCUGAUGACAAUUCUGAUCUUAGUGAUUAUUGUUGUCAGGGGAAAAAGGAGGAGGUGAUGCCUUGUGUGGGAAAAUAGGACUGAAUGAAAACUGAGCUGGAGAAAAGUCAAAUCUGAGAAUGCUUUAAUACCCUAAAGUCUUGUAAUAGACCUAUGGCAACUCCAGAACUCCUGCUUGGAUUUAAGAAAAUAAGCUCCCAUCCAGUAUUUGACACUUCUGCUACUCCCUGAAAUUGUAAAUUUUCCCCUCCUGUGUUAAGGUUUAUGAACUGCAAUAGCAACCUAAAUAUUUCACCUUUCUUUUGUCAUUUUGUUUCUGUAGGAGUUGGGAAGCUGAGUUGUUUAAUAUAUGAAAAGUGGAUAACUAAGAGAUCUCAAUUCCUUCCUUAAUGGAAUGUGAAUGCCAAGAGUAGCUAAUAAUGAGGAGACUUGCAUUUGUUGAGUUUUAAGGAGACAAAAGUGUUUUUCUCCUUUGUUUCCACUGGAAAGGAAUAGCAAAUAGGAAGCAAUGUAGUAAUACUAAUAUUGGUCAAAGAAGAGGAUAUAUUACAACAAUUUAAUUCUACAUGUUCAUUAAAGAAUGGCUAAUUGAAGGUCAAACAGCUAAAAAAAAGUGCCCUCAGGACUCUUUUUGUCCCUGCAGCUCAUUGCAUGGAACGGUAACUUUCGCUUCAUCUCAGUAUUAAUAAGGUGAUCCGUUUUAUUUCCUAAAAAUGAAUUAAAUAUGGUGAAUUUUCCUUUUUAUAGGAAGAUAGCAGAAAGAAUAUUAGAAAAAAUCAAAUCUAGAACUGUUAUUUGGGUAUCUUUCUGUCUGUGAGGAGGACCCCUGUGGUGUUAUAUUCAGAGACAUUUAUUCACAGUCUCAAAGUGAAUCUUUCCUCAAAGAUCUAAAUUUCAGUUGUCAAAACUUUCUCCUUUCAGAUAUAGCAACAGAAGACUUUAAAGCCAUGGGAAUAACCUUUGGCUUGAAUUUAAAUGCAUAUCUCCAGGGACUUUAAACUCAAAUCAGACUGCUUUCUACCCAACAGAUUUUGCAGGUAAUACAAUAUAGUUCAGAAAUUCUUUUCAGAGUCAUGCCUUGCCCAAUCCACCACCACAUACACUAUGAGUAAGGUGAAAGAAGAACCCUCAGUACUCCAGGCAGACACUUAAAACUCCUUUUGUUUACAUUCCCUUGCAUUGGUUCUUUUUUACUCUACACCAAAUUGCAUGUCUUUGGCAACAGUUGCUUGUUUCCAUCUCUCUUGUAAACUGAGUUACUCAUAGCUGUCUCCUGGUUUCAUGGUACACAGCACUUCGCUCCAACUUUGCUUCCUUUGUUUUGGCUGGUGUGCUUAAGAAUUCUGAAAGUGUUUUUCCGUUUCAGAAGAGGAGGGCUCUGAAAACACAGGCAAGUCAUCGCAACCGGAUGUGGCAUGAGAGUUUUGUUGGCUGUGAGCACGCUGAGGAGCUGUAACAAGGAUUGUAAAUCUCUGUAGAACGUAGAUGUGUGUCCAGUCCUGGCUGUGGCCUGUGUGUGCACACAUAGGACCUUCUCUGUGCAGACCUCCCCAAUUCACCUUGUGCAGCUUUUCUCCUACACAAGAGGUUUCUGGGACCAUCACUGUUCAUAACCAUCAUUAAACAUUAAGGAAUGAUAAUCCAGUGUCCUUGCAGGCAAUAAUUAUAAUUUUGGUUUCAGCUGUGCUGUGGAUGUGUUGUGUUCAUCUCAAUCUGACUUCUGUAGCACUGGCUGCUGUUAGAUACCAGACAGAAGAUGGUCUUCACAGGUGAUGUGCUUCUGUUUCUCAAAAAUGUUCUGAAAGAAGCGUUGCUCAGCCUUCCAGCUGGAGUGCCACAGCAGUCAUAUACUUCCAGGGAAUUGAAUACUGUGGGGAGUGUGGGUUAAAAUGCUCAUGAGCAGCACAUAUAAGUGUCAUUAACUGAAAAAAAUUAACCUGUUAUUUUUACAUGUGUUGAAAAGGAGCAGCCUAAGCCAGCAGUUCAUCCCAUCAUGGGCAGCAGUAAAAUAGUGAUGCACAAUUCUACCAAACCAGAGAACCCAUCCUAUCCAAGUCUUCACUUGCAUCACACUGUGCAGUGUUGAUUUUUUUUUUUAUCCAGCAUAAACAUUAAAAAGGAACAGAAACAAAACAAAAAAGCCACAAACCCUCAAGGUCAGUCAGUCUAAAUAAUGACAGGCAAUACAAAUGCAUUUUAUACAUAAACAGAAAAGGAGUGGGGAAGGUCUUUCUCAUUAUGCCAAAUGGCAGUCUGGCUAUGAUUUAAUGCAUUUGAAAUUAAGUCUGUCUCUUCAGCUGUACAUUUUUACUGGGUCUGCAGAACAGACUGGCAGACAGUGUGAGCAGAUGCUUCUGGUUGGAUCAGGAUAAAUUUCUUUGUGCUGGCUUUUUCAUCUGAUAAAAUCUUUUGAAUCUUUUUGCAGCAGUGAGCUUUAGGUGUUUUCCAGCUGAAGUGUUGGACCAAAUGAACCUAUUAGUGUAUCAUUCUAAGGAGCCCAUAAAGGCAGCUUCUGUUUAAAGAUCUCUGCUUACUGCAUAGUGCAUCAUUUUUUCACAAUAUUGGAAGCCUGGCCAUGUGCAGAGAUUUUCUUAUCUAAGGAUACCAGCUGUUUACUGGAGGAUGAAACUAGUUGUUCCUUUCUCAAGCAAUGUCUGUCACAAGGAGACAAAAAUCACCACUGUGGGUGUGUUACAUAAAUUGCCACAAUGGAGUGCAUUUCAGAUCCUUCAUCUCAGAGGCCAUCUGUCAUUGAAAGUGGCACAUUCACCUGCCCAUCACUUCUGCAGCAAUGUGUGCAUCAGACAGGGCACAUCCCAAUGAAGUUUACAACUGGAGCAGCUUUUCUUACAGCUGUCUUUGGAAAGACUUAGUAAUCAAGUCACUGCUUCAGAUGGGAACAAACACCACAAAUAGAUUGUUCUUUCUGUCCAAGAGAACAACAAAUGCUUUCUGUUUUGCUUCAGAAAAGAGCGAACUAGUUCCCUGAAGGAUAUUUUUCUACUCAGUAAAAUCCAAUGUUGCUUCUGUGAGCUCUUCUCUACUGUCUCUGACCCUUGACAGGCAAUCACAGGGUUUUAAUAAGAAAAAUUACUCUCAAGUCCUUGAAUGGAUCUAGACAGGAUUCAGCAUUGUUAUGAUUGUUAGUAAUUAUAUAUUUCUCUCCAUUUUCCUUCUACCUUUGUUUUUCCUUUAACUUGGUGAAGUAGGACAGGAUGAUGUCAACCAUUUUUAAUAUUAUUUGUCUGGAGUGUUUUUUGGUUUGAGAAUAUGUAUGCAUUUCUGUAUUUGUCUAACUUUUCCUUGUUCCAUGUUUAGUGCAAACUCUGUAAGUUGUUGAAGGAAGAACUUGACAGUGUGUAUGUGUGCUUACAAUUUGCUCAAAGAAUUUCAACUAUGGGUCAGAGAUUUUUCUUCCCAAUCAGUGAAAAUGUACAUAACCUUUCUGUCUGCUGUAAAUGUUCCUGUCUGUAAAAUGAGGUUUUACUUGCCUGCCUCACAGGCAUGUUGAAGCUUAAUUAGUGUAGGUAAUAAAUGCUAAGUAUUAUUUUAAAAGA